UACAACGAGUCGCAAGACCGCGAGGUUUAGCAAAUCUCUUAAAGCCGUUCUCAGUUCGGAUUGUAGGCUGCAACUCGCCUACAUGAAGUCGGAAUCGCUAGUAAUCGCGGAUCAGCAUGCCGCGGUGAAUACGUUCCCGGGCCUUGUACACACCGCCCGUCACACCAUGAGAGUUUGUAACACCCAAAGCCGGUGGGGUAACCUUUUGGAGCCAGCCGUCUAAGGUGGGACAGAUGAUUAGGGUGAAGUCGUAACAAGGUACC
rnacentral:rRNA from 1 species